GAUGAAGAACGUAGCGAAAUGCGAUAAGUAAUGUGAAUUGCAGAAUUCAGUGAAUCAUCGAGUCUUUGAACGCACAUUGCGCCCCCUGGUAUUCCGGGGGGCAUGCCUGUCCGAGCGUCAUUGCCGCCCUCAAGCUCGGCUUGUGUGUUGGGCCCCCGCCCCCCGGCUUCGGGGGGCGGGCCCGAAAGGCAGCGGCGGCACCGCGUCCGGUCCUCGAGCGUAUGGGGCUUCGUCACCCGCUCUGUAGGCCCGGCCGGCGCCCGCCGGCGACCCCAAUCAAUCUUUCCAGGUUGACCUCGGAUCAGGUAGGGAUACCCGCUGAACUUAAGCAUAUCAAUAAGCGGAGGA
rnacentral:misc_RNA from 1 species